GAUUAGCAGCACACAGAAGCGCUGCCCGUGUAAAAGACUGGAGUAAAAGGACCGGCUCUCCACAUGACACAUGCCUGUACUACACCGUGACUGGCAGGAGAAAAAUUGCACCUGAAAAAAAGAUCAGAAUUAUGCAGAGGAGGAAACUGGAUUUCUACUCUCUAAAGAGUUGAACAAUUCAACACAUCAGCUGAUAUUUGUGGCACCCCUACUACGAUCCUGGCUAAAAAGGCAAGACACUAAAGACGUGCUUACCAAGUGUUGCAGUUGCUGAGGCCAGCACCAUCUCAGACCCUAGAAGACGGCUGGUGAUGUUAACAGAAAAACAACGAUCUGGGGAGAAGGUGAAGUGAGCUGAUUUGCCCAGAGCCGUAUGUUUUACCAGCACAAUUUUGAAUACAGCAGGUCAAUCCACUAGUCCUUUCUUCUCUCUCUGCUUCUCUACCUGUGCAAUGGAAAUGAUCACAGCAGCCUCAUAAUGGGAUUGUGAGGAUUUGGGAGUUAAAUAGGAACUCUUGCUAGCUCAAAGAUCGUCCUCUAUGUUCCAUAAAACAGCCUUGAUUCUAGGGCACAGGGAUAAUGACAGAGAGUACAUUUUCUAUGAGCCUUGCAUAGGUGUUAUAGUCGCGUCUGGUUUUCAAUUAGCACUCAAUCAGGAGUGCCCUUGGAACUCCCCUGGCUGGUUCUGUAGUUCAUGUGAGCUCUGUUAGGGGACAGGAAGGUACAGUUAAAACUCAAAGGUGAGGACAAGUAAACAGGGCCGAGAGUUCUGCAAACUAUUGCUGUAUGGAGGGCCAGCCACUUUAUUAAUGUGUAUAUGGAAGAAACCAGAUCAGAUGGUCCUCUGACACAUGAGCCUUUUGUUUAUUAGCAUCCUGUCUCUUGGCGUGUUUGUAAAAAUAUAUGUGAGAGCCACGGGUGCUCAGAAUUUAUGACUCUGCAGGGUUAGAUCUAUGUCCACUCCCAGCCCUGGUUCACUGGGAAUCAGGCUCAUCCCUACGAUAGCAAAGUUGGGGGAUGAAAAAUGAGAGCUAUCUUUAUAAAAUCUUGACUGUGGCAUCUUUCUGAAAAGAUUGCAUCCGGGAGAGCACAACCAACACUGCUUUUGCAAUUUCACGCCCGUAAUGGGUGUGUUGUAUGGGGAAGGGUGGCAGGGGCAGUGUUUGCUUCCAAGUGGUAGUGAUAGUGAAACAAACUCAUGGUCUCUCCCUGGUUUCAAUCAACCCUCCCACCAUUGCCAUUUGUCUUCCUAAAACAAAAAUCUCAUGUGUCAUUGCCUUGCGUAUGAACCUUUGAUGGCUCCUGUUUGCUUUUGGAGUUAGAAUUUCUUCAUAUGGCUCAGCACAGCCUGCCCUUCUGAUGUCAUCUCCUGGCAUACCCCCUUACACACUCCAUAAUCUAACUAGCUAGGAUGAUUCGGGAUUAAAUGAGGCAGUCCCCAUGGUGGCUCAGAUUGUAGGCUUUAGAUCCAGAUUCUGGCUUUGAAUCCAGGAUCUCACUAGUUGUGUAGUCUCAGAUAAGUUACUUACCCUUCUGUGCUUCAGUUUGCCCAUCUAUAAAAUAGGGGACAUAAUAUCAUAAGGCGUCUGUGGACAGUAAAUGAAUUGAUACAGAGUAUGUAAAGCAGUGCCUGACACAUAGCAAAUAUCAUGGAAGAUUGGGUAGCAUUAUUAUUAUUUAUGUUGAUCUGAAUGUGGCAUUCUCUUUGACACCUCUGUGCCUUUGUACGUGCAGUUUCCGUAGCCUGUAAUGCCCUCUCCCUCUUCUAUGCCUAAGGCUAACACCUUCAACACCUCUCUCAAGUGUCAUAACUUCUUUGCCUCUCUCUUUGCAUCUCCCACUGUCUGACACAGCACAGCAGAUUAUUGCAGCUUUUUAGAAACAAGUCUUUCUCCCCCUAUAAGAUUGUGACUUUCCUGAGGGCAAUGGUUAUCUUCAUUUUUAUUUAUUUACUUAUUUAUUAUUUUUUGCUGAAGAAGAUUAGCCCUGAGAUAACAUCCA